rnacentral:rRNA from 1 species
AGUAACGCGUGAGGAACCUGCCUCAAAGAGGGGGACAGCAGUUGGAAACGACUGCUAAUACCGCAUAAGCCCACAGCUCGGCAUCGAGCAGAGGGAAAAGGAGUGAUCCGCUUUGAGAUGGCCUCGCGUCCGAUUAGCUAGUUGGUGAGGUAACGGCCCACCAAGGCGACGAUCGGUAGCCGGACUGAGAGGUUGAACGGCCACAUUGGGACUGAGACACGGCCCAG